AGCUACAGUUGCUCACAGGGAGGCUCCCUCUGGUCAGAGACAUCAGGCCUUCCUCUGUCCCGGCUCCUCCCUCCAGGUUCUAACCCUGCAGGAGCCAGAGGCAAUCAUGGCAGAAGACAGCAGGCAAUGUAGCAGAGCAGGAAGAAAAAUUUGACUGUAAUAACUCAGGACCUGAGGGACAAAAGUCAUGCGAAACCCAAAUGUAGAAUCCAAUGUCCUUGCUCAUCAGCUUCCCCAGUGCUCUGCUUGCAUCUGACAUUUUUCAAGUAAAAAGAAAUGUGUUCCUUCUUUGUUCA